rnacentral:rRNA from 1 species
AGGAUGAACGCUAGCGACAGGCUAACACAUGCAAGUCGAGGGGCAGCACGGGAGGUAGCAAUACAACUGGUGGCGACCGGCGCACGGGUGAGUAACGCGUAUGCAACCUACCUAUCAGAGGGGAAUAACCCGGCGAAAGUCGGACUAAUACCGCAUAAAACAGGGGCACCGCAUGGUGAUAUUUGUUAAAGAAAUUCGCUGAUAGAUGGGCAUGCGUUCCAUUAGGUAGUUGGUGAGGUAACGGCUCACCAAGCCGACGAUGGAUAGGGGAACUGAGAGGUUGGUCCCCCACACUGGUACUGAGACACGGACCAGACUCCUACGGGAGGCAGCAGUGAGGAAUAUUGGUCAAUGGGCGAGAGCCUGAACCAGCCAAGUCGCGUGGAAAAGGAAGAAGGAUCUAUGGUUCGUAAACUUCUUUUGCAGGGGAAUAAAGUGCAGGACGUGUCCUGUUUUGUAUAUACCCUGAGAAUAAGGAUCGGCUAACUCCGUGCCAGCCGCUGC